rnacentral:rRNA from 1 species
CCUACGGGAGGCAGCAGUGGGGAAUAUUGCGCAAUGGGCGAAAGCCUGACGCAGCGACGCCGCGUGAGGGAUGAAGGUCUUCGGAUCGUAAACCUCUGUCAGAAGGGAAGAACGGUUACUGUGCUAAUCAGCAGUGAAUUGACGGUACCUGCAAAGGAAGCACCGGCUAACUACGUGCCAGCAGCCGCGGUAAUACGGAGGGUGCGAGCGUUAAUCGGAAUUAUUGGGCGUAAAGCGCUCGUAGGCGGUAUGUCAAGUCAAGGGUGAAAUCCCCGCGCUCAACGUGGGGACUGCCUUGGAAACUAGCAAACUAGAGUGUGUGAGAGGAUAGUGGAAUUCCAGGUGUAGGAGUGAAAUCCGUAGAUAUAUGGAAGAACAUCAAAGGCGAAGGCAGCUAUCUGGCACAUAACUGACGCUGAGGGACGAAAGCGUGGGUAGCAAACAGGAUUAGAUACCCUAGUAGUC